rnacentral:rRNA from 1 species
GGAUGCGAUCAUACCAGCACUAAAGCAUCGGAUCCCAUCAGAACCCCGAAGUUAAGCGUGCUUGGGCGAGGGUAGUACUAGGAUGGGUGACCUCCUGGGAAGUCCUCGUGUUGCAUUCC